rnacentral:rRNA from 1 species
UACGGAGGAUGCGAGCGUUAUCCGGAUUUAUUGGGUUUAAAGGGUGCGUAGGCGGCCGAGUAAGUCAGCGGUGAAAUUUUGCAGCUUAACUGUAACAGUGCCGUUGAUACUGCAUGGCUAGGAUUUGGUUGCUGUGGGUGGAAUGUGUGGUGUAGCGGUGAAAUGCUUAGAUAUCACACAGAAUAUCAAUUGCGAAGGCAGCUCACAAAGCCAAGAUUGACGCUGAGGCACGAAAGUGUGGGGAU